rnacentral:rRNA from 1 species
UACGAAGGGGGCUAGCGUUGUUCGGAAUCACUGGGCGUAAAGGGCGCGUAGGCGGCCGAUCAAGUCGGGGGUGAAAGCCUGUGGCUCAACCACAGAAUUGCCUUCGAUACUGUUUGGCUUGAGACCGGAAGAGGUUAGUGGAACUGCGAGUGUAGAGGUGAAAUUCGUAGAUAUUCGCAAGAACACCAGUGGCGAAGGCGGCUCACUGGCCCGUAACUGACGCUGAGGCACGAAAGCGUGGGGAGCAAACAGG